rnacentral:rRNA from 1 species
AAUGAACGCUGGCGGCGUGCCUAAUACAUGCAAGUCGAACGAAGUGGCGCACGGGCGAGUAAUAUAUAGUUAAUCUGCCCUACACAGAGGAACAACAGUUGGAAACGACUGCUUAUACCUCAUAGUGUAGGAUGAGACUAUAUUGUAUCAGCUAGUUGGUAAGGUAAUGGGUUACCAUGGCUAGGACGCGUAACUGGUCUGAGAGGAUGAUCAGUGACAUUGGAACGGAGACACGGUCCAGACUCCUACGGGAGGCAGCAGUGAGGAAUGAUGCGCAAAGGGGGAAGCCCUGACGCAGCAACGCCGCGUGGAGGAUGAUACUUUUCGGGGCGGAAACUCCUUUUAACAGGAAAACGGUACCGGAUGAAUAAGCACCGGCUAACUCCGUGCCAGCAGCCGCGGUAAUUC